rnacentral:rRNA from 1 species
GGCCUGAGAGGGUGACCGGCCACACUGGGACUGAGACACGGCCCAGACUCCUACGGGAGGCAGCAGUGGGGAAUAUUGCACAAUGGGCGCAAGCCUGAUGCAGCGACGCCGCGUGAGGGAUGACGGCCUUCGGGUUGUAAACCUCUUUCAGCAGGGAAGAAGCGAAAGUGACGGUACCUGCAGAAGAAGCGCCGGCUAACUACGUGCCAGCAGCCGCGGUAAUACGUAGGGCGCGAGCGUUGUCCGGAAUUAUUGGGCGUAAAGAGCUUGUAGGCGGUUUGUUGCGUCUGCUGUGAAAGACCGGGGCUUAACCCCGGUAUUGCAGUGGGUACGGGCAGACUAGAGUGCAGUAGG